rnacentral:rRNA from 1 species
UUCGGCCAUAGUGGCGCACGGGUGAGUAACGCGUGGGAACCUGCCCAGCAGUGGGGAAUAACUUCGGGAAACCGGGGCUAAUACCGCAUACGCCCUUAGGGGGAAAGAUUUAUCGCUGUUGGAGGGGCCCGCGUCCGAUUAGUUUGUUGGCGGGGUAAUGGCUUACCAAGACUACGAUCGGUAGCUGGUCUGAGAGGAUGAUCAGCCACACUGGGACUGAGACACGGCCCAGACUCCUACGGGAGGCAGCAGUGGGGAAUAUUGGACAAUGGGCGCAAGCCUGAUCCAGCAAUGCCGCGUGAGUGAUGAAGGCCUUAGGGUUGUAAAGCUCUUUCGGCGGGGACGAUGAUGACGGUACCCGCAGAAGAAGCCCCGGCUAACUUCGUGCCAGCAGCCGCGGUAAUACGAAGGGGGCUAGCGUUGUUCGGAAUUACUGGGCGUAAAGAGCACGUAGGCGGUUCGUUAAA